rnacentral:rRNA from 1 species
AUGGCGAACUACCCAGUUAAUGUCGUCCCCUACCUGCCGCAAGGCAUGACCAUCAAGCUUGGGCCUGAAGAUAGACUGGUUAGAGAUGAGAUGGUGGUCAGUCCUGUGCCUCCGCUCCGCCAUGACUUCCUGGCCAUUGCAAAGGUGAACCGCUUCAUCCCUUUCCAUCAGAAAGCUCUGCUUCACCACCCCAUUGAAGGUUUGCUCCAUGAGUCCAACUUCUUCCUCACUAAAGUAGACAAUUACCCACUCGGGAUUGGCAUUUUUGGUUUUGUGGAUUCCGUUGUUAGAGAUGUUGUGGUCGGUACUACUUUUGAGUUUGAUGAGGAUGAUGAUAACCAGGGCACUGUUGUCUCUUUUGUUCCUCAUGAUGCUGCUAUCAACAUGCGCCAAACUAGUUUUGGGCCUCAAGUGUGGUUGCUUUAUAUUGGAUUUCCUCAUGAUUACCAGACUUCUCAUUAUAUUCGUAAGUCUGUGGACAAAUUAGGAGAACUUAUCACUUGGAAUAAUCCUAGGGGGGACAGGAAGUUUGUGUUGAUCAAAGCCAGAGUUCUUAGUCUGCGUUGGGUGCCCAAAAGCUUUGUUGUGCAUCAGUUAGGAGGAGAGCGCCGUUGCUGGACAGUAUGUGUCAUGAUCCUUUGA